UUCAGACGCUGGCAUCGACAGUCUCACUGCGCAAGCAACAUGAACCGUCUGUUUGGAGUGGACCUUCUGUCUGUCGCCGCAAUCGUAAUUGCUUUGAUCGUCAUGGCUCCGAAAGAAGCUCUCGCUAGCCUCGGCGGAGGUGUGGGAGGAGGAGCAGGUAUCCAGAACUGGGGAAAAAAGUGAAUUUCCGUGCGUGCUGAAUCUAGGCAUUCCACUGUUGCCAUGCUCUGGAUGACCCGCUCGCCUGCA